UUAACAUUGGAAGCAGCCAGAAGUGCUUCAGACUCCAUUCUUUCAAGGCUGAAAUGGGGAAAGGAACAAUGUGCCAUAUCCAAGGAGCUCUCCUCUCAGCUUCUCCAGAUAUUUGCUGAAGAGACAGUGAAGGGCUUCCUGAGACAAUGGUCAGAUGAGUAUGAAAAUAUAAACUUUGAUGUUUCAGUCCAGAACGAUCCAAAGACUUCUACUUGCAUGGUCAUUCUUCAAAUGAUCACCAAAGCCACUGCUAAAUGUUAUUUUGAGUCCGCUACCAGCGUGGCCACCAGUGACAUUGUAGAAGGCGUGUUUGAUUUGGAAAGGGAUACCAUCAGCAGUACUGGAGAGCAGGUCCUCACCUUUAACACAAAGGGUUCCAAGAAAGUUAGUAAGAACCUCUGUCCUCAAGAGUCUCUGGAGUACCAGCCUCAGAACAUUUCCCCUACUGUGUACUUUACAGAGACGAUGACAACAUCUCAUGGCUCCUUUUCUCCAGAGGGAAUUUAUGAUAUCG